rnacentral:rRNA from 1 species
GAUGAACGCUAGCUACAGGCUUAACACAUGCAAGUCGAGGGACCGGCGCACGGGGGAGUAACACGUAUCCAACCUGCCCUUUACUCGGGGAUAGCCUUUCGCAAGAAAGAUUAAUACCCGAUAUAAAGGAUGGGGAUGCGUUCCAUUAGGUUGUUGGUGAGGUAACGGCUCACCAAGUCGUCUAUGGUUAGGGGUUCGGAGAGGAAGGUCCCCGACAUUGGAACUGAGACACUGUCCAAACUCCUACGGGAGGCAGGAGUGAGGAAUAUUGGUCAAGGGGCGCUAGCCUGAACCAGCCAAGUAGCGUGAAGGAUGAAGGCUUAUGGAUCGUAAACUUCUUGUAUAGAAGAAUAUGUAUUAGAUGAAUAAGGAUCGGCUAACUCCGUGCCAGCAGCCGCGGUAAUAC